rnacentral:snRNA from 1 species
GUGCUCGCUUCGGCAGCACAUAUACUAAAAUUGGAAUGGUACAGAGAAGAUUAGCAUGGCUCCUGCGCAAGGAUGACACACAAAUUCAUGAAGCGUUCCAUAUUUUA